GAGACUUGGCUGCAGACUCUUACUCCAGUGAAGAAGCUGUCAAUGAGAUUCACCCUAUCCCAAAGACAGAGCUCAGAGUAGCCUAAGAAAAAUGAAGAUGUCAUGAUUAUGGAGGAAAAGUUUGGAUCGAAAACCAAGAGUCCUAUUCCCAAGCAGAAUUUCUGUGGCCUUCACAUUGCCAAGGUUGAUGCCCCAGCUGCAGUGGGAGACACGUAGCUUGUAUACGACCUGAUUCUGACACUCCUCAUCUGCUCUAAAGCACAGUCAGGACAGCUCACAUACCCAAGUCUCAGCAUUUCGAGAAGAAGCCUGACAGCCUGGAGAAUAAAUGGAGCAAACAGAGAUAAUGCAGUAACCUGCGGCUUUUAGUCUCGAAGUGAUACGAGGGGCCAGUCGGAGUUUAAAUAAAGGAUAAAGCAUUAAAUCUUCGGGGGCAAUUAACUAUGUCAUUUACUGAGAGCCUCCUCUGACUGCGGCUCGUCUCCAUUCCUAUUCCUGUAUAGUAGUGUGACGUGAUGCUGUGAUUUUGUGAUGGACCCAAUCCCUGCAAGAGGUGGCACCACAGCACCACGAAUGUCACCCCACUGGGCUGGGUGGGCUCGUGGGGACAAACAUAGCUGGGCUGCUGCUCUUAUGGGACUGUCUCCUGCCUGCACCAAGCCCCCAGCAGAUCCUCAGUUUUAUCAGCUGGAAAGGGCCAGGAUGAGCCAGGGAAUGAAUUAAAUCUUCCUCUCAGAAUCUAUGGAAAACCAAAUGUAAAUCCCUCACAGGACAGUGACAGGAGAGCACCGUGGGCAUUUCCCUUCAGCUCUAAAAGCACUUAGUUAGAUUAGAGUCAUGCCCUAAAUAAUUUCUACCCCUGAUUUAUUCCUCAUAGUGGUUAUGGGCUAUGGGAAAGCAGUCCUCCUGCAAAUUCCCAUGUCCGUCUUUUUUCAGCUUACUUUGGAAAUGCAGAUCUGGAUUGUCAUCUCUCUUCCCAUUCAACAACUUGUGGAGUUUCUUACUUAAAUCUGUGUAUUGAUUUCAAACCUUUGCUUUAUCACAGCUUACUUGUCCAAAGUGGCUGAGUAGAUUUACUUUGGUGCUUGGCCAACGUGAAUUCUUGAAAUCUGCAAUGUUAAUAUACGAAAUGAAAU